GCACUGGGCACUGGGGGCCUGGAGAGGAAGGAGGCUCGGGAGGCGGCUUGAGGGGGAGGGGGAGGUUUCUGCACGGAAGGUCACGAUGUCCUGCAGCCCUGUAGCCUGGACCUGAUAAUUAGGGCAGACAAUCCCGGCCCUGUGUGCACCAGCGGCUCUCUCCGGGCUGGGGCCCCAGGCGGAGGACAGGAUGGCUGGUGGGGGCCCAGAGGCCUCCCACAAAGGCACUCCUGGAAACCUGUGGGCUGUGCUGCCUAGGGAGAGAGACAGUGUGCCUUUCAUUCCAUCCAGCCUGGGGCGAAGAGCGGGACGUGAGGGCGGAAGUCCCUCCCCGCCCUGGGACGUGCAGGCGAGCCAGGAGCCAGGGACUCCCUUUCACUGGCUGCGCCGGGGGAUAUUGAGGGCAGGCAGAGGCACCAGUGUGGUCACGACAGCCAGCUCACAGCCUCCGGUUCGAAGGUGACUCAGCAGAGAAGACUUGAGGAGCUGGAGAGGGGUGCGCAGGCUUCAGGGGGCAGCCCGCCUGCAGCAUAGCUCACGCCCUCUGCAGACCCGGGAACAAUGAGGAAUGCUGGGAGACAGGUCUUGUCUCCUGCAGAGCUGGAGGGGAUCAUGAUCUGAACUUCCACGAGCCUGGGCCGGUCUGCUGCCAACCUUUGGAGAUGGGAUUAGGGAACACGAGUGGGGGUGGGGUGAGGCACACGGCAGAAAGCAACCCUUGGUCUAGAGCAGGUUUUCUCAACUGUGACGCUAUUGACAUUGUGGGCCGUGUGAUUCUUUGUUGAGGGGCCAUCCUGUGCACUGCAGGAUGUUGAGCCACAUCCCUGGCCUCUUCCCACAAAUGCUGGUAGCAUUCUUCCCCUAUAGGCUAUGACAACAAAACAGGCCCCAGGUGUUGUCAGAUGUCCUCUGGCAGACAAAAUUGCCCCCGGUUCAGAAGCACUGAUCUGGAGCCUAGGCACUGCAUAAUUCUCCCCAGAGAGGCUGUCUGGUCACUGUGCAGGGUCCAGAGGUUGAGAGGGGAAAGGUGGCAGUGACGGGGCAGGAAGCUCAUCUGCCAUCCCGGGACAGGCCCUAGGACUCUGGGCUCACUCAUCUCUCUCUGCACUGAUAACCCUCUCUCUGCUGCAUGAAACUGGGCUAAUGUGAAAGAUGAAACAAAGACAAGCUUAGGAAAAAAUGUCUAAAAGUAUAUAAAAACAUUUAUUCAUUAGAAAACAAGGAGAUUGGCAAACAUAUAUUCCAAAGUUGAAGCAGCUCAACGCAGU
rnacentral:lncRNA from 1 species